UACGUAGGUGGCAAGCGUUGUCCGGAUUUACUGGGCGUAAAGCGCGUGCAGGCGGUCCGUUAAGUGCAGGGUGAAAGCUCCCGGCUCAACUGGGAGAGGUCCUUGCAUACUGGCAGACUCGAGGGGGGUAGAGGAGAGUGGAAUUCCCGGUGUAGUGGUGAUAUGCGUAGAUAUCGGGGGGAACACCAGUGGCGAAGGCGGCUCUCUGGGCCCUACCUGACGCUGAGACGCGAAAGCGUGGGGAGCGAACCGG
rnacentral:rRNA from 1 species